AGAGUUUGAUCAUGGCUCAGGAUGAACGCUAGCGGCGUGUUUAAGAUAUGCAAGUCGAACGUCGUCUUGUUGGUGCUUGCACUAACAAGAUGUAGUGGCGGACGGCUGAGUAACACGUAGGAACCUACCCCUCGGUAGAGGAUAGCCCCGGGAAACCGGGGGUAAUACUUUAUAGUCUUGCAAAAGUAAAGGGCGUAACUGCUCGCCAAGGGAGGGGCCUGCGGCCUAUCAGGUUGUUGGUGGGGUAAUGGCCUACCAAGCCUAUGACGGGUAGCUGACCUUAUGAGGGUGAUCAGCCAGAGGAGCACUGAGACACGGGCUCCACACCUACGGGUGGCAGCAAUCAAGAAUAGUUGGCAAUGGGCGAAAGCCUGACCACGCGACGCCGCGUGCGGGAAGACGCCUUUCGGGGUGUAAACCGCUGUGGUAGGGGAAGAAGAUGUGCUUGCACAUUUGACGGUACCCUACUAGAAAGUAGCCGCUAACUUCGUGCCAGAAGCGUCGGUGAUACGUGGGCUACAAGCGUUAUCCGGUGUGACUGGGCGUAAAGGGUCUGUAGGCGGUCUUUCAAGUUACUUUUCAAAGCCCUCUGCUUACCAGAGGAAAGGGAAGUAAUACUGUUGGACUAGAGUUAUUUUUAGGGGAAUCGGAAUUCAUAGAGGAGUAGUGAAAUGCGUUGAUACUAUGAAGAACACCAAUGGCGAAGGCAGAUUUCUGGAAAAUAACUGACGCUGAGAGACGAAAGCUAGGGGAGCGAACCGGAUUAGAGACCCGGGUAGUCCUAGCCCUAAACGAU
rnacentral:rRNA from 1 species